rnacentral:rRNA from 1 species
GAUGAAGGUCUUCGGAUUGUAAAGUAUUGUCUUUAGGGAAGAACGGUUCUCUUGAAAAUAUUGAGAGAACAUGACGGUACCUAAGGAGGAAGCCCCGGCUAACUACGUGCCAGCAGCCGCGGUAAUACGUAGGGGGCAAGCGUUGUCCGGAAUUAUUGGGCGUAAAGGGCGCGUAGGCGGAUAAUUAAGUCCGGUGUGAAAGAUCAGGGCUCAACCCUGAGAGUGCAUCGGAAACUGGUUAUCUUGAGGACAGGAGAGGAAAGUGGAAUUCCACGUGUAGCGGUGAAAUGCGUAAAUAUGUGGAGGAACACCAGUGGCGAAGGCGACUUUCUGGACUGUAACUGACGCUGAGGCGCGAAAGCGUGGGGAGCAAACAGGAUUAAAUACCCUGGUAGUCCACGCCGUAAACGAUGAGUGCUAGGUGUAGAGGGUAUCGACCCCUUCUGUGCCGCAGUUAACACAAUAAGCACUCCGCCUGGGGAGUACGGCCCGCAAGGUUGA